AGGGAGGCCGGGAGGGGUCCCUGGGCGGGGAGUUGCUGCGCAUCUGUUGUGUGUGUGCGUCUGUCUGUCUGUUCAGGUCUGUUUUAGGCUGUGUCUGUCUGUCUGUCUGGGUCUGUUUCAGGCUGUGUCUGUCUGUCUGUCCGGGUCUGUUUCAGGCUGUGUCUGGGUCUGUUUCAGGCUGUCUGUCUGUCUGUCUGGGUCUGUUUCAGGCUGUGUCUGUCUGUCUGUUUGUCUGGGUCUGUUUCAGGCUGUGUCUGUCUGUCCGGGUCUGUUUCAGGCUGUAUGUGUGUCUGCUCUUUGCUUCUGCUCCUGGCUCUGUGUGUAUUUCCCGGGUCCUGUGGCCCUCUUUG
rnacentral:lncRNA from 1 species